UGGGGAAUAUUGGACAAUGGGCGAAAGCCUGAUCCAGCCAUGCCGCGUGUGUGAAGAAGGUCUUCGGAUUGUAAAGCACUUUAAGUUGGGAGGAAGGGCAGUAAGCGAAUACCUUGCUGUUUUGACGUUACCGACAGAAUAAGCACCGGCUAACUCUGUGCCAGCAGCCGCGGUAAUACAGAGGGUGCAAGCGUUAAUCGGAAUUACUGGGCGUAAAGCGCGCGUAGAUGGUUCGUUAAGUUGAAUGUGAAAGCCCCGGGCUCAACCUGGGAACUGCAUCCAAAACUGGCGAGCUAGAGUAGGGCAGAGGGUGGUGGAAUUUCCUGUGUAGCGGUGAAAUGCGUAGAUAUAGGAAGGAACACCAGUGGCGAAGGCGACCACCUGGGCUCAUACUGACACUGAGGUGCGAAAGCGUGGGGAGCAAACAGG
rnacentral:rRNA from 1 species